rnacentral:rRNA from 1 species
UACGGGGGGGGCUAGCGUUAUUCGGAAUCAUUGGGCGUAAAGGGCGCGUAGGCGGCGCGGUAAGUCAAAGGUGAAAUUCCUCGGCUCAACCAAGGAAGUGCAUCCGAAACUGCUGAGCUUGAGUACGAAAGAGGAUCGCGGAAUUCCCGGUGUAGAGGUGAAAUUCGUAGAUAUCGGGAGGAACACCAGUGGCGAAGGCGGCGAUCUGGGUCGAUACUGACGCUGAGGUGCGAAAGCGUGGGGAGCAAACAGG